UACGGAGGGGGCUAGCGUUGUUCGGAAUUACUGGGCGUAAAGCGCACGUAGGCGGCGUCGACCGUCGGAUGUGAAAUUCCUGGGCUUAACCUGGGGGGCUGCAUUCGAUACGUCGGUGCUGGAGUGGGGAAGAGGGUCGUGGAAUUCCCAGUGUAGAGGUGAAAUUCGUAGAUAUUGGGAAGAACACCGGUGGCGAAGGCGGCAACCUGGUCCAUUUCUGACGCUGAGGCGCGAUAGCGUGGGGAGCAAACAGG
rnacentral:rRNA from 1 species